UUGAUCUCGUCUCCAACGGAGGAGAGCUCUUUGGUGGCUUUCUUAUUGAACCAAUACGUCCCCAUCUUGUUCACCAUCUGAUCCAUUCCUCUGUUCUCUCUUUUAUCUCUCCAAAUGGAUGGAGGCUAACUAUUAUAUUGGCCCUUCCUUUCUUCCCUCGUUGCUGCAAUGAGUUUUGAUGAGGAUGGAAGGGCAAGGUAUUCUUUCUGUGAUGAACGACAA
rnacentral:lncRNA from 1 species